rnacentral:lncRNA from 1 species
CUCUUUGCGACUCCAUGGACUGUAGCCCACCAGGCUUCUCCAUCCACGGAAUUUUCCAGGCAUGAGUACUGGACUGGGUUGCCACUGCCUACUCCAGGGGAUCUUCCUGACCCAGGGAUUGAACCCAGGUCUCCCACAUUGCAGACAGACACUUUACCAUCUGAGCUACCAGGGAAUCUCCCAGGAAAGGAGCCUCCCCCCCGCACCCACCCCAGCACUGAAGAAGCACAGGUGACAAAGGAGACUUGUGGAUUGAGUGUUUCUGCUGCUGCUACUGCUGCUAAGUCACUUCAGUCGUGUCCGACUCUGUGUGGCCCCAUAGACUGUAGCCCACCAGGCUCCCCCGUCCCUGGGAAGAACACUGGAGUGGGUUGCCAUUUCCUUCUCCAAUGCAUGAAAGUGAAAAGUGAAAGUGAAGUCGCUCAGUCAUGUCCGACUCUAGCGACCCCAUGGACUGCAGCCUACCAGGCUCCUCCAUCCAUGGGAUUUUGUAGGCAAAAGUACUGGACUGGGAAUUACUCACAUUGCUUCAUAGGUUUCUAGUCCUUUACAAUGUUGAGAUAACCUGGGGGAUCCAGACCAGAUGGUGACAUAAGAGGCUCC